GAGUGGUUAGCUUAAGUUUAAAGCGUUGGAUUUUUAAUCCAAUGAUUUAUCCACUUA
rnacentral:tRNA from 1 species